UAUAUUCUGAUUCUGAACGCAUAUAGUUGCUCUUUUUUGGACAGUGAUUCAUUCACUCACUCGGAUGAACCUUCUGAUUUUUCAAAGUGCUAUCUGUCGUAGUUGGGGGCGUAUCUGUGAAAAGUAAAUCUUCAACAGUAAAAAGUGUAGUCCUUCAUAUAGUUUAUUAAUAUAUAGUGCUGUCUGGUUAACUAUUACUCUAUUAGAUUCAAUUAUUCGUUUCAAGUUUGAUUUUUUUUUACUGUAUCUGCGUGUGUGUAUAUAUUGUGAGAACUGUAAAUGCGUAUGCAUGUUUAUAGCAAAUGACAAGAAUCUUAAGG
rnacentral:lncRNA from 1 species